AUAUAGGCCCAAGAUAUGUCUUCACACAGUGAAGUGGUUCAGAUUCCUCCAGAGAUGGCUGAGGUGACCUGGUGGACUUGCCCUGCAGUAGUGCUCAAAAGAAAUGUCAGCUGUCUUAGGGAAGCUCCCUGGCUGUGUCUGUUGAGAAGAUGAGGCAUCACCUGAGGCAUAAAAUGCAACUGCUGUGAUCUGGGUGGGCCAGAAUGGGCCAGAGAAAUCCAUGGAGAGAGGGAUGGCUUGGACACCAGCAAAUGGACCUGUAGGGCUGGUCUGAACUCAUGGACUGUACUGAGUUAAAAUAACCAACACUGAGUGGCUGUGUUUUUCAAAAUGUUAAAAAUAUCCCAGAUCCUUCGUAAAUCCAAGGAAUGCAACCACAGUUGCCUAGCACAAGUGUGGAUGACUGUCCUCCCUCAGAACUGUGGUGGGAGCUGCAAUACUUGUGCUGAGCUGAUAUUUUAAGGACCCUUAGAGAGAAAAUUGCUUUGAGUCUUUAGUUUGGCAGUUGGGCUGACCUAGGGUGAGAUGCAGAGCACUGGUUCAGGGUGCCCUGCUCCUGCUGGUGACGGGGGUGAAGUGACCUCAUUCAUUGCUCUCUUAGGGCAGAAAGUCCACUCCAUGAACUUGCAUGUGGCUGGUGCUACAUAUUUGGAGAAGACUGUCAUGUUUCCCAAAGAGUCCUAAAUUGCUGUGAGAGUUUUGCCAUCCCAGAGUGGCAGGCCCAGCUCUCAGGUUGCUGAAGGCAUUCCCACUUUGCCCAUCUCUGAGGCUCACUGGGCUGUAGUGGUGUCACACCACAGCCCUGGGGUUUAUGUUGCUGUUGUAUGACAGGAGCACAAUGAUGUAUUUAGCCUUAGCUCUGCCCCUCAUUUCUGUUGUGUCAUUGCAGCCUGUUGCCAGGUGCCACUGGCAUCUCCUCCCUCUGAGCCCUGGAUGAUAGAAGCCUGAUUUCCAUCCUGCUACCUCCAGGCCUUUCUUUCCUUGCCACUCUCAUUUCCCUGAGUCUUUCCAGGAGAAAUUCACCAAGGGAACCUGCUAUUGCUGGAAGGACUGCCAUUUUCAGAUCUGUAAUCACCCACCUGCCCUGUUGAGCUCCCAGUGUCACAGACAUAGCCUUGCUUGCUGGGAUGCACUUGGCAGGAAUGCUGCACAUCUUAGCAGUGGCCAAGGUGAUCUCUCAAUGCAUCUGUGUGUUGUUGAGAUAGCACUUAUCUGUUGGGAGAGAGAGAGAGUCAGCAGGCCUGACCUCCAAAGCACAAAUGAGACUAAAACAUCGUAUCUGAAUCUCUCAGAUGAUCUUUCAGAUCUCCUUCCACCUACAGAAACAUGCAAAAAAUCAGUAAAUAUGAUAGCCAGCUGCUAAAAGAUGCUUGGUAGAAAGAUGAUUGUGCUAAUGGGGAGCAGAGUGAGGUAGUGUGGUGCUUGCAGCCACAAAGGAUGCUAUAAAUUGGGUCCUGUGUGAUGAUGAGCCACUGUCACAACAUAUGGCAGCCAGUGUGGGCUGUAAAUUCUAAGCCCCUCGGCGGGUGCCUGCUACCACCCAAAAUGGCUCACAGCCAUCUGCUGGGACUGCUCCCACCUCCUGCUGGAGGCAUGGCCUGAGCCUGUGUUUCCUGCUUGAAGCCUUUGCAGAGCAGCUGCAUCCUUUCCUUGGAAGGGUUUGGAAAGCUGGAGGCCCAAAUGUUUCAUGUAAACCUUCAUGUCAACAGCAUGUCCACAUAUCCAUGUGCUGGAGAUGUAGCAGAUGCUUCCUGCCCUCCUCAGCUGUGUGCUCCCUCCUGGAAGGGGCUGGGAUGCUGCAGGUCCUGAGGGUUCAUGUCCAGUCUGAAAUUCCUCAAACAAGGCACAACAGUGAAAGUUUGUUUAAAAUUCCCUACCGUCUAAUCUCCCCAGAUGCUGGUGAGAUAACAACAUUUUUUUUGCAGUGUUACUCAGCAACGAAAAAAUAUUUGGGUCAAGUUGAGCUGUUUACAUUCGUCUUGGUUUAUCCAUCUUGUAGGGAAUGAAACAAGUUUCUUGUUAAGUUUUUCCCUCUUCAUUUUAUUUUUAUCUUGGUGCUUUGUAUAAAAAGUAAUCCAUGUGAAUCAUGGAUAUUAUGAUUCCAGUCAUGAUGAAGGCCUUGUGACAUCUGUGCUGUGAUGGUGGUACACGAGGGAUGAGUAAGCUGUGCUCUGUGCAGUGAGACCCAGCCUGGUGUGCAUCUCCUGCAUUUCCUUGGCCUUCUGGAGAAGUCUUAGAUCAUGAAGCUGUGUUGGAAAUAGGAGUACAUUUAUCUCCAGUCUUCUAAUGAGGUGCCCAGCACCCCAGGGUUUCACACGUGGUUCUCCAGUCUGUCUGUGGAAAUGCUCUUGAGGGACCAGACCAGUUCUUUGCACACAUACUAAAUUUUCAUGGAUUCUUUACUUUCUGAUUCAAAGUGAAGGUUCAAAUAACAAAAUGUCUUCCAGAAGUCAGUUUCUGAUUUUUGUGUGAUCACAAAGUGCUGAAAAAGAGACUUACCAAAGGAUUGCUUAUGCUGGGCCUGGUCUUAGGGAAGGCUUAGUUAUCUCUGGGGAUCCUAAAAACCAUAAUUUGACUGAAGAUUGUCCCAUAGCUUUAGAAUAAAUAUCCUAUCCCCGUUCCAAUGUAUUGGCCUCUCUGAUUUGUGCUCUGUGUCCUGGGGCUCUGUUGGUUUCAUUGAACUAAAUCAUUAAAGUGAUGUAGGCUGUAAAACUAGAAACGAAACCAUCACUGAAGGAGCUUAUCCUGUCUGUGAGCCCUCUGAAUUUACCAGCCCGAGAAGCUGUCCCUCCCUUUGGACCUCUUUGGAAGUGUUGCCAUUGAAAAGGAUGGAGAAAAAGCCCCCAAGAACCAGGCUGGAGACAGAUGAUGCUGCACCAACUCCAAGGAAGUGCCAGGCCUAGCUGAAUAAUCUGAGACCAUUAUGUGUCAUUUAGGUCAAGGGUGUUAUCCUGACACCCUUGCCCCAUGCACAGAGCUCUAGGUGUUGCCACAGGGUUCUGGGUAAGGGGUGGAUGGCUGCUUCCAGGAAUACCUGGGACUGCCAUGGGAGGUGAGUCACAUGCACAUAAAUAGGGAGUAGGUCUUUGUGUGGGCAUUAAUAUGUUUGUGUGACUGAGGGAAUGAAAAAAAAUAAUAAACCCUACCAAAACUGUGUUUUAUCCUUUUCUUCCCAAUGUGUGCUGUGAAGGGAAGAAGGGGUCUUCAGGGACAGCAGGACAGAUCCUUCUCUGGAGCAAUUCUUUGUAGCUCUGUUGAUUUAGUUGGCAUUUCACUGAUUAAUACCAGUUGAGAAUCCAGGCUGGAGUGUUUUGUAUGCUUGUAAAUAAUUGAAUGCCGUGUGAAUACAAUGAUGUAAAGGAGGAUGGAAAUAAAGCAGAGACACUGAGAAAUUUCA